GACGAACGCUGGCGGCGUGCUUAACACAUGCAAGUCGAACGGAAAGGCCCUGCUUUUGUGGGGUGCUCGAGUGGCGAACGGGUGAGUGACACGUGAGUAACCUGCCCUUGACUUUGGGAUAACUUCAGGAAACUGGGGCUAAUACCGGAUAGGAGCUCCUGCUGCAUGGUGGGGGUUGGAAAGUUUCGGCGGUUGGGGAUGGACUCGCGGCUUAUCAGCUUGUUGGUGGGGUAGUGGCUUACCAAGGCUUUGACGGGUAGCCGGCCUGAGAGGGUGACCGGCCACAUUGGGACUGAGAUACGGCCCAGACUCCUACGGGAGGCAGCAGUGGGGAAUAUUGCACAAUGGGCGGAAGCCUGAUGCAGCAACGCCGCGUGCGGGAUGACGGCCUUCGGGUUGUAAACCGCUUUCGCCUGUGACGAAGCGUGAGUGACGGUAAUGGGUAAAGAAGCACCGGCUAACUACGUGCCAGCAGCCGCGGUGAUACGUAGGGUGCGAGCGUUGUCCGGAUUUAUUGGGCGUAAAGGGCUCGUAGGUGGUUGAUCGCGUCGGAAGUGUAAUCUUGGGGCUUAACCCUGAGCGUGCUUUCGAUACGGGUUGACUUGAGGAAGGUAGGGGAGAAUGGAAUUCCUGGUGGAGCGGUGGAAUGCGCAGAUAUCAGGAGGAACACCAGUGGCGAAGGCGGUUCUCUGGGCCUUUCCUGACGCUGAGGAGCGAAAGCGUGGGGAGCGAACAGGCUUAGAUACCCUGGUAGCCCACGCUGUAAACGGUGGGUACUAGGUGUGGGGUCCAUUCCACGGGUUCCGUGCCGUAGCUAACGCUUUAAGUACCCCGCCUGGGGAGUACGGCCGCAAGGCUAAAACUCAAAGGAAUUGACGAGGCCCCGCACAAGCGGCGGAGCAUGCGGAUUAAUUCGAUGCAACGCGUAGAACCUUACCUGGGUUUGACAUGGAUCGGGAGUGCUCAGAGAUGGGUGUGCCUCUUUUGGGGUCGGUUCACAGGUGGUGCAUGGCUGUCGUCAGCUCGUGUCGUGAGAUGUUGGGUUAAGUCCCGCAACGAGCGCAACCCUUGUUCACUGUUGCCAGCACGUUAUGGUGGGGACUCAGUGGAGACCGCCGGGGUCAACUCGGAGGAAGGUGGGGAUGACGUCAAGUCAUCAUGCCCCUUAUGUCCAGGGCUUCACGCAUGCUACAAUGGCUGGUACAGAGAGUGGCGAGCCUGUGAGGGUGAGCGAAUCUCGGAAAGCCGGUCUCAGUUCGGACUGGGGUCUGCAACUCGACCUCAUGAAGUCGGAGUCGCUAGUAAUCGCAGAUCAGCAACGCUGCGGUGAAUACGUUCCCGGG
rnacentral:rRNA from 1 species